CAGGUCUCCGGCUGGGAUAACCCCCAGUCAGGCAGGAUCUGGGGGUGGGACUAGAGCCGCGAGCGCUUUAUCCCCUCCCACUCCUACUAUUAGAUCCUGGAGCCAAGUUCAAAUGCGGGGACCCAGCCGGAGCAGGGGAGCCCAGCGCAGGAGAGGGAGCGGCCGGUUGAGACGAGUCCCCUGCGCCGGGCAUCCUGGAGCGCGGAGGGGCUGCGAGGGACCAUGCAGCCGGGCGCCGCGCCUCCCUCCGCGGGCACUUGCAGCUGUGGGGAUCGGCACCGCGAGCGAUAAAUGUUUGCUCUGGAGUGAUGUCUCCCGUCUCUUGGAGAAAUGUACAGAGAAAACCAAGCUGUGCAACUGGCGUCUCUGAGAAGAUUCUGCCACACCCAAAUAGAAAUUCCACUCCCUUCGCUGGGGCAGAAGGAAGUAAACCUACACCAUCCCUUGACGCGUCUGAGGAUCAUUGAUUUUUCAAAGACAGGACAAGCACUGAGAUAAAAUUUAUUUACUUCAUCCACUCAACAGUCUCAGAUAUCAAAGCUUUGGCUUCAGGGCUAUGCCGUGGCUGGCUUCAGUACUGUGUGGAAAGCAUGAAGCCUGAAGGUUUGACUAGGGAUCCGUGCUGCACCAGUGCAAGCAGAGAGCUGCGUAGGCUUUUCCCCCCCACCCCAUUUAGCCAUCGAGAGCAUCUGUUUCGUUCCUGUGUGAGACCAUGGAGCACCUGGAUUAAAGGAACUUUUUGAAAAGCUGGAGCAAAUGCAGAACUACCCGGCGCAGAACAAUUGCACAAGAGACCAUGUCUCACUGGAUUUUAUUGCUCCUGUAUUUUAUAUUCAGCACCUUUUUAAAAUGUGACAAAAUAGGCUUCCCACACAGCAGCCAUUCUUCUGCCUAUUCAGGCCUCCUCUGUCCCUAUGCCCCAUCGUGACAGCUGCCCCCAGUUUUAUUUGGACACACAAAAACACUUCUCCAAGGACAGAGAUGUUCUUGCCGUUAAUUCUAAAUGAAGUCUUUGGAUUUGACCCUGAAAUGGCCUGGGACCAUCCUACCUAAGACUGCAUUUCUCCCAUGCUGCUGGAGCAGCAAGCUGGGGUGAAACUGAAGCUCCUUUGCUCUAAAAGGAGAAGGAAGGUGCUGGCAGCGUGUUCUCCAGAUUCUCCCCAGGACUCUCCUUUGUGCUGUGCUGCUGCUGCUGCUGCUUGUGUCGGUGCUGAGCAAGGGCAAGGCAAAGUGCAGCAUUGUGGAAAUCCUGCGGCAAUACCAAGCCGUGAUCUUUGAUGAGCUCCAGAACCUGAAAAACUUGACUCGAUCUGCUGAAACCCCAAGGAGGGGGAGAGCUGGCCCAGCCUGCCUCUCUAACAAGGAGCAGAAAAUCCUGCUGUCUAUCUCCACCAUGAGCAUGUCUCUCAGGGACAUGGUCAGAGGCCCCUGGAGGAAUCCUGAAGUGGUGGCUGUGAUGCAGGUGGUCAGCAACACAGAGUCUGUGACCAAACAGAACUGCAAGAAAAUCUACAAGAAGAGUCUGUCAACAGUUACAGAGAAACCGCAACACAGAGGCCAGGGCAACAGGAGAAAGCAGCUGAAGGUGAUAGCGCGAACAGUGGAAAACUUGAUCACCUGCUGGGAGAAGCUGUUCUCUCUCCACUCAAAGGACUGGGACACAUAGGGUCAGUAGGAAGCAGUGCAUGGUGCUCUCCCCAUGGGUGCUGAGCACCUGGGAUUGUACCACCACCUCCGUACUAGCCAGUAAGCAACACCGAUUUCAUGGAAACUCCUUGCCUUCUGAUUUCUUGGUCCCACCGUUGGGUGAAGCAGGCAUUCCAUUGCAUCCUAUUCUUCUCUGUGGGGAUUGGAGAGGGGCACGUCUUGUGUUCAUGGCCUGCUCUGCUACUGUUCCAGGUAGCAAAUACUGAGGGUCAGAUUCAGCCCUGAAAUCAACUGAGUGGCAUCAACAGAAUUUGCUCCUUCAUUCUGAAUAAAACUUUGUUGGACAUUUCCACAGCGGGGGCCUUGGCUCCAGCGAGUCUGUAUGUUAGGAAUUUGGAAGGACAGGGCAGUGAGCAGGCAGUGAAAGAAGAGGGUAAUAGAGUAGGAGGAGGCUCCCGGAUUAUGAAAAUGCUUCUUGUCUGCUAGGAAACCUCUUGCACUGUGUAACGCUGACAAACUUGUCGUCGGUGGGGUGGGAUCGAACCUGGGACUUCUGGCGCUUACUGCAUGAGCCUCUACCGCAUGAACUAAAAGCCAAUUGGCUGUUAGCUAAGACAGUAGAGCAGACUCAUUUUAUCUCUCUCUUUAAGUGGUCUCAGUGCCACUAGAUGGGACAGAGCACCACACUCAGGAGGUGUGUGGGUUACAACUACACCACCUGAGAUGGUGUCUGCUGCUUUCCUGGGGCUGUUCAUUGACAUGCAAUAUUGUCUUCAUACCCCGGAAGGUGCUGGGAAGAAAGCUGUCUAUCUCCCGAAGGGCCAGUGCACCAGGAAAGGCUGGGCAUGGUAGCCAUAGUGACAAGUAGUCUAGGCAAUCUUAGAUCCCCCUGACAUUCCAUGGGUUUGAACUAGCUCUCUCCCCCUCGUUCUUCCAACCUGCGCUCAACAGGCUGGUGCGGAGAAUGAAAUGGACUUUCUACAGCUGCUACCAUCUCCUGGAAAACCAGGAAGAAUAGACAAUUGAGAACCACUUGUAUCUCCUCUCGGGGCCGGGUUUCUCUUCCCAUCAUUCUUGCAAGAGGACAAGGGAAAGCCGAAGUGCUGUAGGAGGUGGGGUUGGGGACUCAGCAAGUGGUGCUCUUCCCUCGGGGUCAGGGCUGAACUGAUGUUGCCUCGUGGUGCUAAGGGGAAGGCUGUGCUGCCUAGAUGUAAAACCAGCCUUUAUGCUAUUGUAACUACUGUCCUCUUCCUACCAGCAAAACAAAUCCCCUGCUUCUAGAAGAGAGGCACCAGAGCUCUCCCUUUAAUCAGUUAUAGAAAACCAGUUGUUACUGGUAGGGCUCCAGCCCUGGAGGCAGAGCUGCUCCCAUUAGCUUCACCAGAGGACAUGACCAGCUGAGCGGUUCAUCAGGACAUUCAGGGACACCCUAGCCAGUGGCUGCUGAGCAAAGUCUUGUAUGUAUAUGAGGUGGCACUGGGGCUUGGCUCGGCUCCUGCUUGCGAUGCUAGAGGGCAGCGGUUCAAAUCCCUGUGUGUCCAUGGCCUGUGGAGUAAAAAGUGUUUGAUCACAGUAGUUCGUUCUUUCUGGCCUUGGAAUCUAUGAAUCUCCUUCUCUCUGCUCUUCAUGGGACAAUGCCAUUGCUGUACUCUGCAUCCUAACUGGUGGCAACCAAGCCCCUACAUAUACAGGGGGCUGUUGGUCAAGGUAUCUACAGGUCAGAAACACAACACCAAGGGCCAAAUUCUCCCCUGGAGUUAGGGAGUGCCAUGCCAUUGCAGUCAGUGGGCCCUUUUACACCAGCGGUAUGAGUUCAAGAGGAGCUGGUCUGAGAUUCACUGAGCACCUGCAGCUCUUCGAGCAGCGCCCAGCCAGCCUAGCGCAGACCAGUGAACAUCAUAGGGGGUGAGCGGAGAUCGGAAAGAAACGUCCUUUUACUUACUGGCUGCCUGACAUGUAAACAUGAGCCUCCUCGAAGGAGCAGCAUCGGAAAGGAGCGCGUUUUCCACACACCAAAACAAAACCUCGGCGAAAAUCCUUCAAAUCCAUGAGCUUCGGAAAUACAUAAAUCCCCAGUGUAGCCAAUGUUGAAAUGCCCUAAUGGUGAUAAAUAAAAAAUCCCCAGAUGGUCGGGGAGUGGAUAGUUUGUUUCGUGAAUAACAAAUUUUCUCUUACCAACACAUUGUGCCUGCUUUCAGUUCUUGGGUGUAACGCCCCAUUGUUUGCAGCUUCUCAGAAGCUU